rnacentral:lncRNA from 10 species
AUAAGACUCUUCUAAUUGAAGAGAGUGUAACAUAUCCAAAAGAUAGUUAAGAACUUGACACACAGAAAUGAGGUUGAGGAAGGAAGUGGGUGGGGCACCACAAACAUCGCAAUGGCUUGGAAUAAAAUUCAAACUCCUUUCUUUAGCAUCCAAGGCCCAGAUCAGUGAUUUUCCUCUUUGGCUGAAGGUCAGAAUCCAACUCAUGAACUCCAAAAUCUGACGCCUAAACUUCAUCCCCAGAGAUUCUGAUUUAUUUCAAACCAAGGAGGCUUCGGUAGUGACUGGUGAGAGCGUGAGCCCAUCACAGUGGGUCUGUCCCCUUUGCUGAUCAUUCAGGUUGGGCAAGUGUCACAGUCCUGGCAAUUGAGACCUGAGUGAAGUUCUGCAGGGGAUCCUCUGAGACAGGGUCUCACUCUGUUGCUGAGGCUGUAGUGAAGUGGCAGAAUCAUAGCUCUCUGCAACCUUGCACUCCUGGGCUCAAGCAAUCCUGAUACCUCAGCCUCUCGAGUAGCUGGGACUAUAGGAAUACGCCACUGUACCUGGCACUCCAUAUUUUUCUAAAUGUUUGUUUCAGAUGAUGUUCUACCCAUAACGUACUCACUCAGUACCACAAAUUACUAUUUGAUAUUUUGUUUUCACAUUAAAAUUGUCUUUAUGAAAAACAAAUAGAACUGAAUUUUGUCAAGUCUUAAAAGUGAUCUCUAGAAUGCCUCUGUAUUCCAUUUGCAAAUAUGUACUACCAAGACUUUAUUUUGAGAAUUGUACUAUGAAAGCCUUUACAUGCGGUUGUCAAAGCGGUAAAUGAAAUAGGAUGUGCAGAAAAAGAAAACAUAAUAAUAGUAAUAAUAAUAAUAACAACAGCUCAAAGAGAGGUCUGGUCUUCGUUUUUAGUUACUUGGAAGUAACUUCUAAACACUUGGAAUUUUGAGAGUGAUUGGAAUGUCUUUGUUAUUCAUGGUAAUCCCCUCGUACCACAUCUGAUAAUUAAUGCCAAUGAGAUGACUCAGAAAGGAGCAAGCCAUGCCAGAAAGACAAAACGUAUGAUUGUAGUUUUGUCUAGUUUUGGAGUUUGGGGCCAAGUGAUAUCAGCCUCACCUCCCAGGAUUGGGGUGCUAGAGAUCAAGCUCAACUGUGUGGAUGCUGAUUCCAUUAAUCCUGACUAUGUAAUGAAACCCCAAUAAAAUCACUAGCCCCUAGAGACUCUGAUGAGCUUUCUGGGUUGCCAAUACUCUGGUCAUAUUGUCACACAUCUAUCUAUUUGUAGAGCUUAAUGCACGCCUGAUGCAAAGAGAGAUUCAAGUUUUGGGAUCCUCCCAGUUUCCAUCCUACGCAUUUUUUUCUUUAGAUGGUUCUAAUUUGUAUCCUUUGCUAUAAUAAAACUGUAAUUGUAAAUACAGCACUUCCUGAGUUCUAUGACUUGUUUUAGUGAACUGUUAAACCUGAGGGUGGUUGUGGGAAUCCCCAAAUGUGUAGCCAGCUGGUCUGAAGUGAGGGUGGCUCUGGAAACUCCCAAACUGUCAGUUAGUGUCUGAACUGAAGGUGAUAUUGUGGGGACAGUUCUCUUAAACCUCACAGUUGGACAGUCUCA